rnacentral:rRNA from 1 species
AAUCAACGCUGGCGGCGUGCCUAACACAUGCAAGUCGAACGAGAAAGUGGAGCAAUCCAUGAGUAAAGUGGCGACCGGGUGAGUAACACGUGACUAACCUACCUUCGAGUGGGGGAUAACCUCGGGAAACCGGGGCUAAUACCGCAUAAUAUCUUCGGGAUGAGAAGCCGAAGAUCAAAGGAGCAAUUCGCUGGAAGAGGGAGUCGCGGCUGAUUAGCUAGUUGGCGGGGUAANGGCCCACCAAGGCUACGAUCAGUAGCUGGUCUGAGAGGAUGGCCAGCCACAUUGGGACUGAGACACGGCCCAAACUCCUACGGGAGGCAGCAGUGGGGAAUCUUGCGCAAUGGGCGAAAGCCUGACGCAGCCAUGCCGCGUGGAUGAUGAAGGUCUUAGGAUUGUAAAAUCCUUUCAGCGGGGACGAUAAUGACGGUACCCGCAGAAGAAGCCCGGCUAACUACGUGCCAGCCGCCGCCGUAAU